CCAGCUCCAAUAGCGUAUACUAAAGUUGUUGCAGUUAAAAAGCUCGUAGUUGAAUUUCUGGUUCUGGAACUCGGUCAGCCCUAGGGUUUGUACCUGUGGAACAGAGCCAUCUAUGAGGAUAUUAUAUCUGUCAUUGAGUUGAUGGGUAUAAGAGCCUCGUCAUUUACUGUGAGCAAAAUAGAGUGUUCAAAGCAGGCUUAUGCCGUUGAAUACAUUAGCAUGGAAUAAUAAGAUAAGACCUUGGUCUAUUUUGUUGGUUAGUACUCCAAGGUAAUGAUUAAUAGGGACAGUUGGGGGUAUUCGUAUUCAAUUGUCAGAGGUGAAAUUCUUGGAUUUAUGGAAGACGAACAACUGCGAAAGCAUUUACCAAGGAUGUUUUCA
rnacentral:rRNA from 1 species